UUCUACAGGUAAUUGAGUGGUUGCAGUCACGUGACCCCAGCAGGCUACACCGCUAUAUUGGCGGUAAAAACAACCAUGGCUGCUAUUGCAAAAACGGUAUCUUCCUCACCAAAAUGUAAUGUAUUUGCAACGACAGAGCACACUUCUCACUUCGUCACAGGAAUAAGAACGAUUCUUUGAAUUUGUGUUUUCAGAUAUAUUAAAAUCAAGCUUCAUUUGACUAUUCUUGAGACUGGAAAGGCGGUAAAAUUAAGUCGGUGCACGACCUAAUGUAAUUUAUUCCACUGUCUCUUCUGCCCAAGGGAUAUCUUUAAAUCCAACUCUCAGAAACAUUUUCAAAAUUACAUGGAGAGUCAUUACCGGAAGGUUGUACGAUUUAAAGCAAAAAAAAACAUGCAGUAGAGACCCAGGCUGACACUCCAGAAAAACCCCCAGUAGCUGCAAGUGCUGCUGGUUCUGUCCAGGUUAACACUAUGGAAUUUGAAAACACGUUUUUGACAAGUGCAAAUGGGACACAUCACAUGGUGUGGGAUAGAGGGUCAAAUGUCCAGAUUUCUGACAUGCCAACUAAAAGAAAGCGAACAUGCACUGCAAAUGACAGCACUGGAUGUCCCUGUGAAGCAAAUGCAAAUGAGAAAAGGGCUGCUGCUCAAGAAACUGUCAGUUUAUGCAGAAGUUCAUUUGUAUCAAUUUAUGCAAACAGAGGUGUGCCUCAAUCAUAGUGCUCGAAACCAAAUGGAAGCACACUGUACCUGCUAGUCACAAGCAAUGUGUUAGUGAACAUGGAAAAGUAUGACCAGAUCAGCUUUGAGGAAGGAUCCUUUUUCAUUGGAGACGAAUCUGGAGGAUGUUUGCAGAGGGAACAUGGUGCCAAUCUAAUUAUUGAACUUGGAUCUUAAAUAAUAUCAGUCUUGACGAGGUGCUGACCAGCAUGUGUUUUUGCCCCCUUCAGGUCAAGUCAUUCACUGUUGAUGAUAUGAUGGCCAGGAUAAGAAUCUUUUCAUUGCUUUGUCAUUUCUCUUUACAAAUAUUCAUAUGUUCCAGGAAGUUAUCAGCAUUCUUAGUGGACUCUGAAAAUAUAAAGCUGACCAAACGAACACAGAUAAUCUCUACAACCAAAAUGAUUUGCUGUAGACAAUAAGACAUGUUCUGAAUCCUUCGUGAUUGCAUAGGUCUGUGUGUAUCUCUUUUAUUUUGUAAAGACACCUCCAUAACCCACCUACCCCCACACUUUGCAGCAAAACUAUUUGUGUUUCACAUAUUACUGCAUGUAGCAUAGCUACACAUCUGAAAUGCAUUGUCUGACUUGCAUAAUGUUUUCUUUUUCUAUUUUACACACACUAAGUCAGUGCCUAGAGUAAUUUAAUGAGAACAGUCCAUAGUAAUGAGGGAAGAGAAAGGUUUGAGUUGAUUUCUUUCAUCCUUCUAUGCGUUUCAAUAUUCAUAGUCAGGCAUUGUGCAUACAUAAACUUUUAAUGCUGCUUCCAUUUUCUUUCAAGACUGAUGGGCUUAUUUGGAUUUUUUUUUUUUCAGUG